UGGGCGGUCAACAAGUGCGGGCCUGGCUCAGCGCGGGGGGGCGCGGAGACCGCGAGGCGACCGGGAGCGGCUGGGUUACCGGGUGCGCGCCCUUCGGCCAGGCCGGGAGCCGCGCCAGUCGGAGCCCCCGGCCCAGCUUGGCCCGCCUCCCUCUCGGCGUCCACCUGCCCGGAGUACUGCCAGCGGGCAUGACCGACCCACCAGGGGCGCCGCCGCCGGCGCUCGCAGGCCGCGGAUGAAGAAGAAAACCCGGCGCCGCUCGACCCGGAGCGAGGAAUUGACCCCGAGCGAGGAGUUGACCCGGAGCGAGGAGUUGACCCUGAGUGAGGAAGCGACCUGGAGUGAAGAGGCGACCCAGAGUGAGGAGGCGACCCAGGGCGAAGAGAUG
rfam:Gorilla gorilla gorilla genomic chromosome, chr9, whole genome shotgun sequence